AAUUUCACAUGGAACCUCUUGGCCUACCUCUGAAAAUAUCUUAGGAUAAUUACUCAAGGGGCCUUUGAAAAGUUGUAGUGCUACAUGUGUUUACAUGGGAACCCAACAUCAGAAAGCUUGGCAAAGCAAAGCAGAGGAGGAAUAUGAUGAGGAACCGGAGAUUAACCAACCAUUUGUGUUAUUUGGCAUCAAAGAGAAGACACCACCGAGACAUGAGCACCGCAAAUCAUCAAACAGAAGCAAGAAACAUCAGUACGUGCAAGUGAA